UCGCGGCUUAUCACCGGCAGUCUCCUUAGAGUGCUCAACUAAAUGGUAGCAACUAAGGACGGGGGUUGCGCUCGUUGCGGGACUUAACCCAACACCUCACGGCACGAGCUGACGACAGCCAUGCAGCACCUGUGCAGCAGUCCCGAAGGAAGACCCUAUCUCUAGAGUUGUCUACUGCAUGUCAAACCUGGGUAAGGUUCUUCGCGUUGCAUCGAAUUAAACCACAUGCUCCACUGCUUGUGCGGGUCCCCGUCAAUUCUUUUGAGUUUCACCCUUGCGAGCGUACUCCUCAGGCGGUAUACUUAACGCGUUAGCUACGGCACAAUCGGGGUUGAGUCCGAUUACACCAAGUAUACAUAGUUUAGGGCAAGGACUAC
rnacentral:misc_RNA from 1 species